rnacentral:lncRNA from 1 species
UAACUGGACUACCUAAGACUCCAAGUAAAAAUGAUGCAGCUUAGGUGAUUGUGGACUGAUUGACAAAGUCUGCAUAUUUUCUAUCAAUUAGAGUUGGAUUCACUUUGGAAAGACUAGCAAAAUUAUAUACGAAAGAAAUUAUAAGGCUACAUGAAAUUUCAGUGAUCAUUGUAUCGGAUCGAGACACCAAAUUUGUAUCAU